AUUGAACGCUGGCGGCAUGCCUUACACAUGCAAGUCGAACGGUAACGGGCCUUCGGGUGCCGACGAGUGGCGAACGGGUGAGUAAUACAUCGGAACGUGCUCGAUCGUGGGGGAUAACGAGGCGAAAGCUUUGCUAAUACCGCAUACGAUCUACGGAUGAAAGCAGGGGACCGCAAGGCCUUGCGCGGACGGAGCGGCCGAUGGCAGAUUAGGUAGUUGGUGGGAUAAAAGCUUACCAAGCCGACGAUCUGUAGCUGGUCUGAGAGGAUGAUCAGCCACACUGGGACUGAGACACGGCCCAGACUCCUACGGGAGGCAGCAGUGGGGAAUUUUGGACAAUGGGCGCAAGCCUGAUCCAGCCAUGCCGCGUGCAGGAUGAAGGCCUUCGGGUUGUAAACUGCUUUUGUACGGAACGAAAAGCCUUCUUUUAAUACAGGGGGGUCAUGACGGUACCGUAAGAAUAAGCACCGGCUAACUACGUG
rnacentral:rRNA from 1 species